GAACGACUGCUAAGACUGGAUAGGAAGAUAAAAGGCAUCUUUUAUCUUUUAAAAGACCUAGUAAUAGGUAUGCUUUAGGAGGGGCUUGCGCCAUAUUAGUUAGUUGGUAGGGUAAUGGCCUACCAAGACGAUGAUGUGUAGCUGGACUGAGAGGUUGAACAGCCACAUUGGGACUGAGACACGGCCCAAACUCCUACGGGAGGCAGCAGUAGGGAAUUUUCGGCAAUGGAGGAAACUCUGACCGGGCAACGCCGCGUGAAUGACGAAGUACUUCGGUAUGUAAAGUUCUUUUAUCAAGGAAGAAAAGCAAAUGGCGAACCAUUUGUUUGCCGGUACUUGAUGAAUAAGCCCCGGCUAAUUAUGUGCCAGCAGCCGCGGUAAGACAUAAGGGGCAAGUGUUAUCCGGAAUUAUUGGGCGUAAAGGGUGCGUAGGCGGUCUAGUAAGUCAGUGGUGUAAUGGCAACGCUUAACGUUGUCCGGCUAUUGAAACUGCUAAACUUGAGUUAGAUAGAGGCGAGUGGAAUUCCAUGUGUAGCGGUAAAAUGCGUAAAUAUAUGGAGGAACACCAGAGGCGUAGGCGGCUCGCUGGGUCUUAACUGACGCUGAGGCACGAAAGCGUGGGGAGCAAACAGGAUUAGAUACCCUGGUAGUCCACGCCGUAAACGAUGAGUACUAAGUGUCGGGUUAAACCGGUACUGAAGUUAACACAUUAAGUACUCCGCCUGAGUAGUACGUACGCAAGUAUGAAACUUAAAGGAAUUGACGGGACUCCGCACAAGCGGUGGAUCAUGUUGUUUAAUUCGAAGAUACCCGAAAAACCUUACCAGGUCUUGACAUGUUUUUGUAAAAUGAUAGUAAUAUCGUGGAGGUUACCAGAAACACAGGUGGUGCAUGGUUGUCGUCAGCUCGUGUCGUGAGAUGUUAGGUUAAGUCCUAAAACGAGCGGAACCCUUAUCGUUAGUUGCCAGCACGUUAUGGUGGGGACUUUAACGAGACUGCCAAUGAUAAGUUGGAGGAAGGUGAGGAUCACGUCAAAUCAGCAUGCCCCUUAUGACCUGGGCUACAAACGUGAUACAAUGGCUGUUACAAAGGGUAGCUGAAGCGCAAGUUCUUGGCCAAUCCCCAAAAACAGUCCCAGUCCGGAUUGAAGUCUGCAACUCGACUUCAUGAAGUUGGAAUCGCUAGUAAUCGCGAAUCAGCAUGUCGCGGUGAAUACGUUCACGGGGUUUGUACACACCGCCCGUCA
rnacentral:rRNA from 1 species